UCAUCUAAAGGUUAUCUGAUUCUAAAGAGCUGUAAUUGCACUGGAAAGCUUAUUAGCUGCUAUAGAGCUCAGAAAAAGGACAGUCUUGUGUUGCUUCAUGUGCCGUUCUGCUCAGGCACAAUGCAAGCCAGUGACACGAGCAGACUUUUAGCUUUAGCUCUUAGCUUCACACGCUUUAGCCUGACUACUGAUAAAGUUAUGGAGUCCGGCAUUAAUGAACAGCUAGUUAGACUUAAAUUAACAGAAGAGAUUCUCAUCGUGGAGUCAGUUAAACUUAAACAGAUGAACUAACUGGAUAAAUAAGUCACAAUGCAAUCGACACAAACGUUAUUUGAAACUCCAUUUACUUUCAAAGAAGAAAGAAACUCAGGUUUUGCGUGUUGAGGGUGAGUAAAUGAUGAACUGCCCCUUUAAGGGAACAUUAACAAAACAUACUUAUUUUGUCAGCUUGGCAGAAGUUGAAAGGACAAAUAUGCCAACCAACCUUACAAUAAAAAUCAGCCCUAUUGUAUUUCACUGGAAUAUAUUUCAAAAAUUUUCAACGACAUUGGUAAGUACCUAUGAAACACUAACAGGCUUUACUGUUCAUGCCAAACAAAGUGUUUUCCAGCAAUCAGCAGCUAUACUGUACAGAGCACAGCAGCAUUAUUACGGUAAGAGACGCUAUAGCGUGAUUUCACAUGGAAAU
ensembl:lncRNA